GAUGAACGCUAGCGGCAGGCUUAAUACAUGCAAGGCGAGGGGGCAGCAAUGUCACCGUCGUACGGGUGCGUAACGCGUAUGCAACCUACCUUCAACUGGGGGAUAGCCCGGGGUAACCCGGAUUAAUACCGCAUAACACAGGGGUACAGCAUUGUACUAUUUGUUAAAGAUUUAUUGGUUGAAGAUGGGCAUGCGUUCGA
rnacentral:rRNA from 1 species